GUGUUGGGUAGUCCUGGAACAUUAUCUAAACACAGAAUAUCUGUUCCCACUAUAGAAGCCUUGUUUUCCAGUUCAGGCACUGGUGUACAUCCUGAGAGAUUCCUGCUGGUGGUGCCACUGGUGUGGGUACUAGGUUACUCUGAUUUCGACAAAGAAUACCCUUAGGUGAAUCCACAAGACGAUUCAAGUCCAUCCAGCCUGGGUUCAACACUGAUGGUAUGACCGGGACUGUAGUUCGCAGCUUUCUGCCCAUCAGCAGUUCUGCAGGACUAUAUCCAUUGGAUAAUGGUGUUGCCCGAUACUCCAUAAGAGCAAGAAUAGCAGUUGAUGACUGCUGUGCAGUGGAAAUACCUGAUAAUUUGCUUGAUAAGACCUAAAUAUAUCGUCAGGAGCAACAGGUAUUAGUUUUGUAUUCCUUGAUAUGUAACCCCCCACACACACACACCUUCCAAAACUGGGCAGCCUCUGACUUGCAUUUUAUUAAUCACCAAGGGCCACAGUUUCAGCUAAAAAUCCUCUUUGCUCUUCUGCUGAAGAACAACAGUCACUGACAUCUUAGAUGGCCUGAGGGUAAGUAAAUUUACAGCAAACUUUUUAUUUUUUGUGUGAACUAUU
ensembl:lncRNA